AUGCUUGUUUCAGCAGCAUAUACAGUAAAAUUGGAAUGAUACAGAGAUUACAUGGCCCCUGUGCAAGGAUAACAUGAAAAUUCGUGGUGUUCCAUAUUUUU
rnacentral:snRNA from 1 species